UGGAUUUUGUUUGAAAGGUGGCUUCGGCUAUCACUUCUGGAUGAUCCCGCGGCGUAUUAGUUAGUUGGUGAGGUAAAGGCCCACCAAGACGAUGAUACGUAGCCGACCUGAGAGGGUAAUCGGCCACAUUGGGACUGAGACACGGCCCAAACUCCUACGGGAGGCAGCAGUAGGGAAUCUUCCACAAUGGACGAAAGUCUGAUGGAGCAAUGCCGCGUGAGUGAAGAAGGGUUUCGGCUCGUAAAACUCUGUUGUUAAAGAAGAACACCUUUGAGAGUAACUGUUCAAGGGUUGACGGUAUUUAACCAGAAAGCCACGGCUAACUACGUGCCAGCAGCCGCGGUAAUACGUAGGUGGCAAGCGUUGUCCGGAUUUAUUGGGCGUAAAGCGAGCGCAGGCGGUUUUUUAAGUCUGAUGUGAAAGCCUUCGGCUUAACCGGAGAAGUGCAUCGGAAACUGGGAGACUUGAGUGCAGAAGAGGACAGUGGAACUCCAUGUGUAGCGGUGGAAUGCGUAGAUAUAUGGAAGAACACCAGUGGCGAAGCGGCUGUCUAGUCUGUAACUGACGCUGAGGCUCG
rnacentral:rRNA from 1 species